GAUGAACGCUGGCGGCGUGCCUAAUACAUGCAAGUCGAGCGAACAGACGAGGAGCUUGCUCCUCUGACGUUAGCGGCGGACGGGUGAGUAACACGUGGAUAACCUACCUAUAAGACUGGGAUAACUUCGGGAAACCGGAGCUAAUACCGGAUAAUAUAUUGAACCGCAUGGUUCAAUAGUGAAAGACGGUUUUGCUGUCACUUAUAGAUGGAUCCGCGCCGCAUUAGCUAGUUGGUAAGGUAACGGCUUACCAAGGCAACGAUGCGUAGCCGACCUGAGAGGGUGAUCGGCCACACUGGAACUGACACGGUCCAGACUCCUACGGGAGGCAGCAGUAGGGAAUCUUCCGCAAUGGGCGAAAGCCUGACGGAGCAACGCCGCGUGAGUGAUGAAGGUCUUCGGAUCGUAAAACUCUGUUAUUAGGGAAGAACAAAUGUGUAAGUAACUAUGCACGUCUUGACGGUACCUAAUCAGAAAGCCACGGCUAACUACGUG
rnacentral:rRNA from 1 species